GUCAGCAAGAGAAACCACCCGUCACAGAUCUCAGCGAGACUAGAGCGAGCGCAGCCCGUUCACAUUACAGCACGAGACGCGCCUCUGCACCUCUCCGAUUCACAGUCUCUCCAUCAUUGACCGUAGCAAAAUGCCACUGGGAGAGGAUGGACACUCUUGGAAAAAGAAAACGUCGAACAUCAAGGACAUCUAUGACUUCAAAGAGGUUUUGGGAACGGUGUUCCAGG